rnacentral:tRNA from 1 species
ACUUUUAAAGGAUAACAGCUAAUCCAC